UUCCGGUUGAUCCCGCCAGAGGUUACUGCUAUCGAGGUUCGACUAAGCCAUGCGAGUCGAAUGUAGCAAUACAUGGCGUACUGCUCAGUAACACGUGGACAACCUGCCCUUAGGUUGGGUAUAAACCCGGGAAACUGGGUAUAAUCCCCUAUAAGUCUCGGCUGCUGGAAUGCACCGAGAUUAAAAGCUCCGGCGCCUAAGGAUGGGUCUGCGGCCUAUCAGGUAGUAGUGGGUGUAGCGUACCUACUAGCCUACGACGGGUACGGGUUGUGAGAGCAAGAGCCCGGAGAUGGAUUCUGAAACACGAAUCCAGGCCCUACGGGGUGCAGCAGGCGCGAAAACUUUACAAUGCUGGCAACAGCGAUAAGGGAACCUCGAGUGCCAGGUUACAAAUCUGGCUGUCGAGAUGCCUAAAAAGCAUUUCAUAGCAAGGGCCGGGCAAGACCGGUGCCAGCCGCCGCGGUAACACCGGCGGCUCGAGUGGUAACCGUUAUUAUUGGGUCUAAAGGGUCUGUAGCCGGCCGGAUAAGUCUCUUGAGAAAUCUGGCAGCUCAACUGUCAGGCUUUCAGGAGAUACUGUCUGGCUCGAGGCCGGGAGAGGUGAGAGGUACUUCAGGGGUAGGGGUGAAAUCUUGUAAUCCUUGAAGGACCACCAGUGGCGAAGGCGUCUCACCAGAACGGACCUGACGGCAAGGGACGAAAGCUAGGGGCACGAACCGGAUUAGAUACCCGGGUAGUCCUAGCCGUAAACGAUACUCGCUAGGUGUCGGCCACGGUGCGACCGUUGUCGGUGCCGUAGGGAAGCCGUGAAGCGAGCCACCUGGGAAGUACGGCCGCAAGGCUGAAACUUAAAGGAAUUGGCGGGA
rnacentral:rRNA from 1 species